GGCAGGGCGCACGGCGGAUGCCCAGGCUCCCGGAGGCGAUGAAGGACGCGCGCAGCUGCGAAAAUCCCGGGCGAGGCGCACAGGGCCGGUGACCCCGGGGUGUCCGAAUGGGGCAACCCGCCCGGCUGAAGGCCGGGCGCCCCCGCGAGGGGGCGCGCACCCGGCGAACCGAAACAUCCCAGUAGCCGGAGGAGGAGGAGACAACAGUGGUGCCCCGCGUAGCGGCGAGCGAGAGGGGCGGGCGCCCAAACCGGGGGGGUCUUCGGGCCCCCCCGGGGUAGUAGGGCCCACGGGAGCGCGCGGCCCCCCGGGCCGAAGCGGCUGGAAGGCCGCCCCGCAGGGGGUGAGAGGCCCGUAGGCUUCGGCGGGCCGCGCGCGGUGGGGACCCUGAGUAGGGCGGGGCCCGAGGACCCCCGCCCGAAACGGCCGGGACCACCCGGCAAGGCGGACUACUCCCGGGAGACCGAUAGCGAACCAGUACCGUGAGGGAAAGGUGAAAAGCACCCCGCGCAGGGGGGUGAAAGAGACCCUGAAACCGUGCGCCCGCGAGCGGUCGGGGCCCCCGCGAGGGGGUGACGGCGUGCCUUUUGCAUAAUGAGCCUACGAGUCGCGCCGGCCGGCGAGGUUAACCCCCUGGAGGGGGGGAGCCGUAGCGAAGGCGGGUCCCGCGAGGGCGGGAGUCGGCCGGCGCGGGCGCGAAACUUUGCGAUCUACCCACGGCCAGGCUGAAGGCCCGGUGAAGCGGGCUGGAGGGCCGAACCGUUGCGCGUUGAAAAGCGCUCGGAUGAGCCGUGGGUAGGGGUGAAAGGCCAAUCAAGCUGAGAGAUAGCUCGUACUCCCCGAAAUGCCUUUAGGGGCAGCCUCGGGGCAGCCGCGCGGAGGUAGAGCGACCGGUCGGGCGCGAGGGCUUCGCCGCCUAUCAAGCCCCGCCGAACUCCGAAUGCCGCGCGGCGGUCCCCGGGAGUGAGCCGGCGGGUGCUAAUGCCCGCCGACGAGAGGGGAAGAACCCGGACCAGCGGCCAAGGCCCCCGAGCGCGCGCUAAGUUGGCCGAACGCGGUCCGGCCGCCUGGACAGCCAGGACGUUGGCUCGGAAGCAGCCACCCGUCCAAGGAGUGCGUAACAGCUCACUGGUCGAGCGGCCGGGCACGGAUAAUGAGCGGGCAUCAAGCGCGCCGCCGAAGCCCUGGGGGCGCGGGCUUGUGGCCCGCGCGCGGUAGGGGAGCAUUCCCGCCCGCGGGGAAGGCGGGCCGCGAGGCCGGCUGGAGCGGCGGGAAGGGCCGAUGUAGGCAUGAGUAGCGACAACGCCGGCGGGAAACCGGCGCACCGAUAGGCCCAGGGUUCCUGAUCAACGCUAAUCGGAUCAGGGUGAGCCGGGGCCUAAGGCUAAGGCGAGGGCCGACGCCGAUGGGGAGCGGGUGGAGAUUCCCGCGCUGCCCGCGGCCGCGACGGGGUGACGGAGGUGUGGCAGCCGCGCCGGGUGACGGACGUCCCGGCCGAAGGGGGUAGGUAGAGGCCCGGGGCAACGCCCGGGCCUGCCGAGCCUGAGAGCGCCGCGCGCCCCCGGGCGCGCGGUCAAGCGGCGUAAGCGAGCUCCCGAGAAAAGCCCCUAAGCGCCAGGCCGCGGGCACCCGUACCGCAAACCGACACAGGUGGCCGAGGAGAGGAUCCUGAGGUGCUCGAGUGAUUCACGGCCAAGGAACUAGGCAAACUGGCCCCGUAACUUCGGGAGAAGGGGCCCCCCGCGGCGACGCGGGGGCGCAGCGAAGCGGCCCAGGCGACUGUUUAGCAAAAACCCAUGGCUCUGCCAAGCCGCGAGGCGACGUAUAGGGCCUGACACCUGCCCGGUGCCGGAAGGUCAAGGGGGGGCGUGAACCCUUCGGGGGGCAGCGCCGAGCCGAAGCCCCGGUAAACGGCGGCCGUAACUAUAACGGUCCUAAGGUAGCGAAAUUCCUUGUCGGGUAAGUUCCGACCUGCACGAAUGGUGUAACGAUCUGGGCGCUGUCUCGGCCGUGAGCUCGGCGAAAUUGAAGUCGCGGUGAAGAUGCCGCGUACCCGCAGCGGGACGGAAAGACCCCGUGAACCUUUACUGCAGCUCCGCGCUGCGCCGGGGCCCGCGCCGCGUAGGAUAGGCCGGAGGCUAUGAGCCGCCCCCCCCGGGGGGCGGGGAGCCGCCGUUGAAAUACGGCCCUGCGCGGGCCCGGGCGCUAACCCCCUGGGGGGGGGACACCGCGCGGCGGGUAGUUUGACUGGGGUGGUCGCCUCCCAAAGGGUAACGGAGGCUCCCCAAGGUGCCCUCAGCGCGGAUGGCAAUCGCGCGGCGAGUGCAAUGGCACAAGGGCGCUUGACCGCGAGGCCGACGGGCCGAGCGGGUGCGAAAGCAGGGCAUAGUGAUCCGGUGGCGCCGUGUGGAAGGGCCAUCGCGCAAAGGAUAAAAGGUACUCCGGGGAUAACAGGCUGAUCGCCCCCGAGAGCCCAUAUCGACGGGGCGGUUUGGCACCUCGAUGUCGGCCCGUCACAUCCUGGGGCUGGAGAGGGUCCCAAGGGUUCGGCUGUUCGCCGAUCAAAGUGGCACGCGAGCUGGGUUCAGAACGUCGUGAGACAGUUCGGUCCCUAUCUGCUGCGGGCGUGGGAGGCCUGAGGGGCGCUGGCGCUAGUACGAGAGGACCGCGCCGGACGGGCCGCCGGUGCACCGGCUGGGCCGCCAGGCCCACCGCCGGGUAGCCGCGCCCGGGCGGGAUAAGCGCUGAAGGCAUCUAAGCGCGAAGCCCCCCCCGAGAUGAGGCCUCCCGUCAGGGCCGUGGGAGACGACCACGUGGAUAGGCCGGAGGUGGAGCGGCGGCGACGCCGGGGCCGACCGGUACUAAUGGCCCGAGGGCUU
rnacentral:rRNA from 1 species